rnacentral:rRNA from 1 species
GAAGCGGCAACAGCUCAAAUUUGAAAUCGGGCGCCCGUCCGAGUUGUAAUUUGGAGAGGAUGCUUCCGGGCAGCGGGCCGGUCUAAGUUCCUUGGAACAGGACGUCAGAGAGGGUGAGAAUCCCGUCUGCGACCGGCGGCGCACCCGACCCGUAGCUCCUUCGACGAGUCGAGUUGUUUGGGAAUGCAGCUCAAAAUGGGAGGUAAAUGUCUUCUAAAGCUAAAUACCGGCCAGAGACCGAUAGCGCACAAGUAGAGUGAUCGAAAGAUGAAAAGCACUUUGGAAAGAGAGUCAAACAGCACGUGAAAUUGUUGAAAGGGAAGCGCAUGCCGCCAGACCUGUCGGCGGCGUUCCGCCGGUCUUCUGACCGGUUCACUCGCCGCCGACAGGCCAGCAUCGUUUGGGCGCGCCGGACAAUGGCGCGGGGAAUGUGGCCCCUCGGGGUGUUUAUAGCCCCGCGCGCGACGCGGCGCCGCCCGAGCGAGGUUCGCGCUUCGGCGAGGAUGCUGGCGUAAUGGCGGCCUGCGGCCCGUCUUGAAACACGGACCAAGGAGUCUAACAUCUAUGCGAGUGUUUGGGUGUCAAACCCCGACGCGGAAUGAAAGUGAACGGAGGUGGGAACCGGGCGACCCCCGGCGCACCAUCGACCGAUCCGGAUGUUUGUUCGGAAGGAUUUGAGUAAGAGCAUAGCUGUUGGGACCCGAAAGAUGGUGAACUAUGCCUGAAUAGGGUGAAGCCAGAGGAAACUCUGGUGGA